CCUACGGGAGGCAGCAGUGGGGAAUAUUGCACAAUGGGCGAAAGCCUGAUGCAGCAACGCCGCGUGAAGGAAGAAGGCCUUCGGGUCGUAAACUGCUGUCCUUGGGGAAGAAGAACUGACGGUACCCAAGGAUGAAGCCCCGGCUAACUACGUGCCAGCAGCCGCGGUAAUACGUAGGGGGCAAGCGUUAUCCGGAAUUAUUGGGCGUAAAGAGUACGUAGGUGGCGACCUAAGCGUUGGGUUUAAGGCAAUGGCUCAACCAUUGUUCGCCCUGGGUAUUGGCAUGCUAGAGUGAAGGAGAGGAAAGCGGAAUUCCAAGUGAAGCGGUGAAAUGCGUAGAUAUUAGGAGGAACACCAGUGGCGAAGGCGGCUUUCUGGACUGAAACUGACGCUGAGGUACGAAAGCGUGGGGAGCAAACAGGAUUAGAUACCCGUGUAGUC
rnacentral:rRNA from 1 species